GGCUCCGGUGGCGUAGUGGUUACUGCGUCCGACUCGGAUGCGAGAGAUAGUGGGUUCGAUUCCCGGCUGCGCCA